GCAUUAAUGGGGUAGUGGUAACCUGGGUCGUUGCCAUUUGUGAGAGUGAUCUCGACCUGCCGGGGGUUCGAUUCCCCCUUAUUGCA